rnacentral:lncRNA from 1 species
AAGCAGUCCAAUUGGUUCGCACUGUGCUGCAGUGGAUGGGAGCUGGGAGACACCUGUGCGACACAGGUGCUGCUGAUGGUGUGGGCGGGCGCUGCGAGCGGCUACAGAGGCCCGCUGGGAGUUCAGAGGGAGCGUUCCCCGAGCUGAGCGCACACGUGCUCUCCUGCCUGCGGUUUAUCUUCAACGUUUCUCCUGCCUGGAUAGCAACGGGAACCCAUCUCCAUCAUCCUGGGUGCCUUCACCAACGCAUCGUCUGCCUGGACACCAUCUCCAGCCCUUCUCCUGCUCGGCUAGGUUCUGUGGCCCUGAACUGCCAGAUGGGGUGGUUUUAACUGUGGAGAGGGGCGAGCACCGCUGUAUGGCUGGGCACCCAGAAACGUGGCCUUGCACACGUCGGGCACAGACACACUGCUCCUGGGAGGUCUCAUUCCCUUGUGAGAGGUAAAUGUGGGCCGGAAUAAAGGGAUGGGACGGAGCUGAC